UUCUCUUGAAACACACCAGUCUUCCCUCAGUAUACAUUGAAGGUGAUUCAGCUUCCUUCUUGCUAAGACUUACUUCUCUGCAGGCUUUAUCUUGAUUUACACAAUGUGUGUCCUCUACAUGGCCCUGCUCCUUGCUCUGUUGUCUGUGGGAACAGCAGCACAGGCCCCAGAGGAUGGUGGACAUCUGGUCAAACCGCUCGCACCGGAAGACCAGCAUACUAUCUUCGGGAAGUGGGUCUUCAUCAAGGGUUUCCUGGACCAUGAGAUGUUCAAUGCGAUACUGAGAAAGACCAACAGCUCCUGGAUUGAAUUCUUUCCCAGUUCCCACAACAAGAUAGUCCUUCUCCUCCAGGGACACUUGAUAGAAUAAUGUGACUUCUGCGGGACAUUUACUGCAAACCUAUCCUGACUGUCUCGCUAUGCACAGCAGGAGCACCAUGGCCGGAGUGCAUAUCUGAUCUCUCUAUAUCUUUGGGAAGCCCAGGACACUGCCAGAGUCAGAGCUGAAGCAUUUCUGGAAAGCAGCAGAAUGCCUCCAGUAUCCUCCGCCUGCACAGUAUUCAUUAUUUACCCUAACCCUACCCUACUCAACAAAAGGGACACCAGGCAACAUUUAGUAUUGAUUUAGAAUGUUGUAAUUUAACAGACUAGAAUAGAUCUCUAUUGGCUGAGUCCUUGUGUGUUUAGAACCUUGUUAAAGUUCUCACUAACAUCUUCUCUCUGCAGAGUUUGCGCUGAGAUAAAAGAGAGCUUGCGUAUUGCUGAAUCUCAAUAUAUAACAUGGUUCACAGUAAUAUAGCUACUGAUGAUGAAAUGGUUGCAUUAAUAAAAUCAUUUGGACUCUAAUAAAAAGUUU